CAUACAAAUAUGGAUGUGCCAGCCUGCCAGGCCCAAAGCCGGAGACUUCAAAUAUGAAACUCUGUGGAUCAGAGGCAUUUAACCCACCAAAUAAUUUUCAGAGAACCUUUCUUAGGGGUUUCUGUUUAAGGCUUAUCUUAGAAAGUACCCUGGAGGAACAACCAGAUGAUUUAUUUCUAAAUGAGCAGUAUCAAAAUUGUUAUACUCAUGCAGGUAGAGUGAAAUUCUCAUUUUGCUUUGGUUACAAAGCUAGCCAUAGCAGUCACAGAAUACAAAGCUCCAGUUUUCAAGAGUGUGCUUAACCAUACUCCUUCUACCUUUGAAGACACUAUUCUACAAUGCUGAUGGGUAACAAUUCAUUGUUAUCUACAAACAUCCAAAAAUGAGCAGUGUUUAUAAAACUAAGUAAGCUUCUAAAACAGUGCCUUAAGCAUGCAAAUAUUCAAGUUCUAAACUUAUCCUAAAGAGUCAUCAUUAUGACUUACACAGAGAUAGGUGUAAUGGCAUUCAACAGUAUUGGUAGUUCAAAGAGAAGUAGUUUGAUGGUAACUUGAGGGUUCAAAAGGUUUUCCAAAAAAUCAGGAGAAAACCUUUCCAAAGAAGCAAAGUUUUAAGGUCCAAUUUUCUGAAAUACCUAUCUAAUUAUCCUAGAGAGCCAAAAGAAGUGGCUUCUGUAACACCAGACUAUCACCACUUUAUUUCUCCUCCCUGCCCCUAACUACUGAAUUUUUUAUUAAAGCCAUAAGCUGCGAUGGAACCUAACCUCUGUGCCCCUUCAAUGUGGAACAUGUGGUCAUCAAAGAAGAUGUGGGGCCGGAUCUUCACCAAGAUGGGACUUUUGGGGGCUCCAGCAAGGAAAAGAGCUUCGUCUAUCUCUAGACCCCAGCGUCGAAGGGUCUUCAGCACACGGGCGCCUGAACUGGCUGCACUCCUAGCUGUAACCAGCCAUCAUCCAUGGAAAGUCCAGAUUAGCCUCCUGGAUGGAUUUGUGAGAAGCAGAGCCUCUCCUCCAAGCCAGAGAAGCCAUUGUGUACCAGCUCGCCCUAUUAGCAUACCAUGUGCCCAGGAGUAAACAGUGCCCAGAGAUGCUCUCUGCACCACACCACCACUGCUGGGGUCGGGGAGCGGAGUUGGUGAUCCAGGAAUGUUUUCCUGUUUCUUCAGUGCCUCUUUCAGUGAUAUGAAGUUAAAACCAGGUACUGUGAGUGCUCACCUGAUUUUUGGUUCUUAUGAAUGUGUUUUUUUUCUGUGUAGAUAGUUCUUAACUUGGUGUACUUGUGUGGGGGGUGAUCUGUGGAGCUUUCUAUUACAUCUUGAUCUGCCUCUCCCCAAACUUGGGCAUAUUACAUGUGGGAAAAUUCUAUUAUUGUACUCUUGAGUGUAAAAUAUGGUUUAAAGGACCCCAGAAUUCUUUUCAGCUGUGUAAGUUAUUUAAAAUAACAUUUUUAUUACAGAUAAAAUUAAGCAAAGUGAAGACAAGUGAUUUUUGUUCUCUAGUAUCUUGUAGCACUACUAUGAUGUGUUUCUCUGCAAAGUUGCUCUUGAUAUCUAUAUAGCUAAUCUUUCCAACUCUUCCUUUACUGUUUCCUAGCCAUGUAUUUAGCCUUUCUCUUUCACUCACCAACACAGGUACUAGUGACCUUCCUACUUAAAGUAAUGCUCAAAAAUGGCCAAUGAAACUGUGACACAAAUAGCAACAGCAAAGCAAAUCUAAAAGUAAUAGGCUGUCAGCGACUUGAAAUAUUCUCUCAAGAUAAAAACAUGUGAGGGGAGCAAGAUGGCCCACAGAAUGAUUCCAGGAUGGUGGGGUGGAUGGAUCACAGAUAAAUCUGGCAAGGUUGAACCCUUCCAUCCUCGCUGCAGGAGGCCAACCCAAAGCCCUGAGCUGGGACCUAUGCUACCCUCUUCUGCUUGUUCUGCAGGGCUGCAACAUGUGUUCUGUGCUCCAUAUUUCACCUGAAAAAAGGGAGGCAGGUGCCAUUGAGAAGCUGGCUAUAAAAUCCUUUGAAACUACAUUGUAGAAUUCCAGAAAGUGAGUUCAGAAAUAUUAAUCCAGCUCCCACAUUUACUGAAGGGGAAACUUGGGAUCAGAAAGGAGCUCUUUAAAGACAUGGACUCUUUAGAUUGUGAGCUCUUUAAAGACAGGGAUUAGUCUUUUUUGUAGCUCUAACAAAUACGUAGCACCUCACACAAAGCGUAUGCUCAGGUACACGUACCUUGAGGUAACAGAUGCCCAGUACUUAAGGAAAGUGUUAAGAUGAAUAUACCCUUGUAAACCCCACACAAAAUGUAACCACAGAAAGAAACUCUCAUUUUUCAGCAAGCUUUACUUACCUAUAGAGUUCCACAGAAUGCAGCUAGGAUUUCAGUUGGGUUAGGAAUGGCCAGAAAUGCCCAGGUGUUCUGGCUGGUGCCCUUGGAUAAGCCCACAGAUUUUCUGGGGAAAUUUAAUCACGUUGACACCUACCUCUGGGACCAGGUGGGCUUGUGGAAUUUUCUGUCUAACAAAGUUCCAUUUAGCAUAUUAAUAUGGAUUUUGAAAAGUGUAUUCUAAUGAACUGUCAGGAAAGCCAAGAUCAGCUAGGCCACUGUUAUCCAAAUCCAAAGAGUGUGAGUGUGUGUGUGUGUGUAUAUAUACAUAUAUAUAAGUGUAUAUAUUUUUUUCUUUUCAUUGUGAGGCAUCUGGAAUGUAGCAGGAAAUUUUGAAGCCAUGGGAUGUUAUAUUUUUUGUUUUUUUCCCUUUUUAGGUUGAAAGCCAAAUUAUGACAAUUUGGGAUUUCUGGAAAUAAUAUUUUACAGUAGUAGUUUUCUGCCCAUUUCAACUAUAAUUUCAAAUUCUCUUUUUGCUCUCAAGGGUACAGUGAUGAAUGGUCCCAGCUGUGUAAUUGUAGUUUUGGGGUUUCUCAGGAGAUGGCACUGGAUCCUAUAAAGGCUCUGUCUUAAUGGUGGUACAAGAACCUUGGCAUGCCCACCUCCUGCAUGUGCUUUUGUUCAUGACAACAUUGCACAUUCGGGGACAACAUUGUGUCCCCGAACUGUAGGCAUGCUCCCUAUUUCGUAUCAGAAGGAAGGUAAGUUUCCCUUCCUGUAUGGGACAGAGACCUAAGCUGGGAGGUUCAGGAAGUUUGAGGAAGUGCCCAAACUUCCGCUACUGGGGACAGAGAUUGGCGUGACACUACUUCUGCCUGGAGAAUCCUAUCCUUCCCCAUCCAACUGAUUCUUUCCUGUCCCCUUCAGAGCUGGCACAGAACACAUUUAAUAAGGAUACAGUUCGAGGAGAAGGACUGCCCUAGUCAAAGGGCUUUUCAGGAAAGUGGCCCUACUCAGACCCCUUCUACAGCUUUGGAAUCAGCACACGCGCUGUCAGCACCCACCUGCAGCAUAUUGAAAGCGUAUUGAAAGCAGCCAGGGUGGCAGCAAGGGGGCGCCACAGCAGAUACACGCAAGUCCCCAUUCUGCAUCCUCAGCCAGAGGUAGCAAACUGGCAGCUUGCUAGCUGGACCUGGCCUCAGGGUGUUUAGUUUGGCUCUCCCAGAGUUGGCCCACACAGUGUUUUAUAUUUGAUUUAUUUGAUUAUAAAAAUGGGGAGAUAUCACAUAAAUGUGUAAAUUUCCAAAAUCUUUUGAAAAACACUUGGGAAAUGCUUGGCUCUUUUCCUUUCAUUUGCAAAAAGGCUGUAAAAGAGCAGGUUUUGCUACCUUUUAUAGAAGCCUGGUAUGAUAUCGUGAUUUAGAAUAAGAAAUAUAUAUUUUGGUCUUUGUUCCCAGUUCCUGAGACAGGGCACCUAGUUCCUUGGAGUGUUCUGGGUGAUAUAAGCAUCUUAUUUUUUUUUCGAAUGAAGUAACUGUUAUCAACAGAAAGACCAAGCAUGAUUAGAAGCUUGGAAUUUGCACCCCACUUCCCAUCCUUCAUGAAGGAGAAAGGGGCUAGAGAUUAAAUUAAUAAUCAAUCAUGCCUAUGUGAUGAAGCUGCCAUAAAAAGUAUUGAACUACAGGGUUUAGAGAGCUUCAAGGAUGGUGAACAAGAAUACGUCCAUGUACCAGAAGGGUUGUGUACCCCUAAGUACAUGGGCACAGAAGUUCCUACACUCAGGACUUUUCCAAACCUUGCCCUAUAUAUGCCUUCAUCUGGCUGUUGAUUGGUAUCCUUUAAAAUAUCCUUUGUAAAAAAUAACAGACACAAAGACUGAUGAAACAGAAUAGAGAACUCAGUAAUAAACCCAAGCAUAUACAAUCAACUAAAUUUUGACAAGACCACCAAUAAAGCAAAAAUGGUGAAAGGAUUCAACAAGUGGAAAUGGGAAAAUUGGGUAUGUACAUGAAAAGAAUGACACUGGAUCCUUAAAUGGUAUCCUACACAAAAAUCAAAUCAAAAUGUAUUAAAAACCUCAGUAUAAGAUCUAAAACUGUAAAAAUUCCUGGAAGAAAAUAUACAGAGGAAAAGCUUCUUGACAUUGCCCUUGGCAAUUAGUUUUUGGAUUUCACAACAAAAGCUCAGUGAAUAAAAACAAAAAUAAAUAAGUGGGACUAUAUCAAACUAAAAAGGUUCUCCAAAUAGCAAAAGAAAAAGACAGCUUAUGGUUUGGGAGACAAUAUUUGCAAACUAUACAUCUGAUAAGAGAUUAACUCCCAAAAUAUAUAAGGAAGUCACACAAUAGCAAAAAAAAAGUUUAAAAAAUGAGCAAAAAUCUGGACAUUUUUCUGAACACAUAAAAAUAUCCAACAGGUAUAUGAAAAGGUGCUCACCAUCAGUAAUCAUCAGAUAAAUAUAAAAACCACAAUGAGAUAUAGUUUCACAUCUGUUAGCAUGGCUAUUAUCAAAAAGACAAGAGAUAGCAAGUGUUGGUGAGAGUCAAAAUUAAAACUCUUGUGACCCAGUGGUUCCUUUUCUGAUUAUAUGCCCCAAAUUAAUGGAAUCAACACCUUGUAGACAUUUCUACACUCUGAUGUGCAUCACAGCUUUAUUCACAAUAGCCAAGAUAAGGAAACAACGUAAGUGUUCAUCAAUAGAUAAAUGGAUAAAGAAAAUGGUAUCUGUCUGUCUAUCCAUCCAUCCAUCCAUCCAUCUUUUUUUUUCAUUAUUGUACUUUAAGUUUUAGGGUACAUGUGCACACUGUGCAGGUUUGUUACAUAUGUAUACAUGUGCCAUGUUGGUGUGCUGCACCCAUUAACUCGUUAUUUAGCAUUAGGUAUAUCUCCUAAUGCUAUCCCUCCCCCCUCCCCCCACCCCACAACAGGACCCAGUGUGUGAUGUUCCCCUUCCUGUGUCCAUGUGUUCUCAUUGUUCAAUCCCACCUAUGAGUGAGAACAUGUGGUGUUUGGUUUUUUGUCCUUGCGAUAGUUUGCUGAGAAUGGUGGUUUCUAGCUUCAUCCAUGUCCCUACAAAGGACAUGAAAUCAUCCUUUUUCAUGGCUGCAUAGUAUUCCAUGGUGUAUAUGUGCCACAUUUUCUUAAUCCAGUCUAUCAUUGUUGGCCAUUUGGGUUGGUUCCAAGUCUUUGCUAUUGUGAAUAGUGCCUCAAUAAACAUACAUGUGCAUGUGUCUUUAUAACAGCAUGAUUUAUAAUCCUUUGGGUAUAUACACAGUAAUGGGAUGGCUGGAUCAAAUGGUAUUUCUAGUUCUAGAUCCCUGAGGAAUUGCCACACUGACUUCCACAAUGGUUGAACUAGUUUACAGUCCCACCAACAGUGUAAAAGUGUUCCUAUUUCUCUACAUCCUCUCCAGCACCUGUUGUUCCCUAACUUUUUAAUGAUCACCAUUCUAACUGGUGUGAGAUGGUAUCUCAUGGUGGUUUUGAUUUGCAUUUCUCUGAUGGCCAGUGAUGAUGAGCAUUUUUUCAUGUGUCUUUUGGCUGCAUAAAUGUCUUCUUUUGAGAAGUGUCUGUUCAUAUCCUUUGCCCACUUGUUGAUGGGGUUGUUUUUUUCUUGUAAAUUUGUUUGAGUUCCUUGUAGAUUCUGGAUAUUAGCCCUUUGUCAGAUGAGUAGAUUGCAAAAAUGUUCUCCCAUUCUGUAGGUUGCCUGUUCACUCUGAUGGUGGUUUCUUUUGCUGUGCAGAAUCUCUUUAGUUUAAUUAGAUCCCAUUUGUCAAUUUUGGCUUUUGUUACCAUUGCUUUUGGUGUUUUAGACAUGAAGUCCUUGCCCAUGCCUAUGUCCUGAAUGGUAUUGCCAAGGUUUUCUUCUAGAGUUUUUAUGGUUUUAGGUCUAACAUUUAAGUCUUUAAUCCAUCUUGAAUUAAUUUUUGUAUAAGGUGUAAGGAAGGUAUCCAGUUUCUUCUUUCUACAUAUGGCUAGCCAGUUUUCCCAGCACCAUUUAUUAAAUAGGGAAUCCUUUCCCCAUUUCUUGUUUUUGUCAGGUUUGUCAAAGAUCAGAUAGUUGUAGAUAUGUGGCAUUAUUUCUGAGGGCUCUGUUCUGUUCCAUUGGUCUAUAUCUCUGUUUUGGUACCAGUACCAUGCUGUUUUGGUUACUGUAGCCUUGUAGUAUAGUUUGAAGUCAGGUAGCAUGAUGCCGCCAGCUUUGUUCUUUUGGCUUAGUAUUGACUUGGAAAUGCGGGCUCUUUUUUGAUUCCCUAUGAACUUUAAAGUAGUUUUUUCCAAUUCUGUGAAGAAAUUCAUUGGUAG
rnacentral:lncRNA from 1 species